GCUUAAAAUCUUACGUUUGCUAGUGUUUAUGUUCAAACAACACACGUGACACACGUGACUAAACCUGAUUGGUUGUUGUCAUAGUAACACGUCACGGUGCUAUUUGAAAGCUGUAGUUGUUCAGUGAGUUCAGUUCACGAGGUGCAUGUGGUUGCUUGCGUUAAACGUAUAAACUGUUAAAUUAGAUGGCGACUCUGCAUUAAACGUAUUUAUUUAAUUAAUCGGCGAUCAUAUUUCACCAGAGGACUAAGAUAAAACAACUCGAUUUAAAAUGUGAGCAGUUUUAGUGGAUCUGACGUCGAGGGAAAAAGUAUUUCGCUUUUUGUUUGGAGAUGAACGAGACAACACGAGGCACAGCGACAUAAAUAUGACCAACCAGAUCCCAAGUAGACAGGAACAAAUGAAGAUAUAGCGCAUAGAAAGACUUAUUCUUGGUGAUCAACUGCUAUUGACAUUUUUGAAUUGGGACAAUUGUGGAGUGAUUCGGAAGAAAAACGUUUGCAACACAUCCAUUCCAGGUGGCUAAUUUCUGUCCUUUUGAAUUAUUCUUGUAAAAACCGUUUGUUUUUAUUGUAAAGCUGUAAGGGACUUGGCCUAGUCAUCCUUGCAUAUACCAUUUGGCAGGGCACCAGACUAACUUUUUUUACUAGGAGCACAGUGGCCCCCAACUGAAAAUUUUAGGGGCGCAACCAGAAAAUUAAGGGGCACACACGACUGCUCUGACAGAUAAAACUGACACACUUGAUGAGGACACAGUCAAAGCUUUAAAAGACCGUGUGAUAAAGCAGUCUUCAAUUACUACGGUGUCUGAAUUGCAAGAAGAAAUGACCCUCCACUUAAACAUGUGACAUCUAAACUGUUUUGUGUUUUAGUUCAGCUUUUUAUAGGUUUAUCUUAAGUUGGUUAAAGGCGGAGUGCACUAUUUUUGAAAGCCAAUGUUAACAUUUGAAAUUACCUAAACAAACAUGCCUCUACCCCAAUAGAAUCUGGACCUUCUUUUGAUAGAGCCACCACACACAUACGCAACCCCGGCAAGGAUGUCGGUUAGUAGACACACCCCUUACUGCUGGUUGGCUACAAGUGUGUUUUGGUAGUCGGCCCAAUUUCCUUUUCCAAAGCGUUUUUCAAACAUUGUGCACUCAGUCUUUAAAUUGCACUUAAAACAUUUUUUUUCAGUAACUUUUUAUGCAGAGAAUUACAUUAUGAUUAUUAUAUAAUCAUUGCUUAUGAAUAUUUAGUGAUUGCAUAUUCAUAGUGUACUUUUCAUUAAUACAUUUAAUGUUAAUGUUGUACAAUUUGAUAGAAGUAGCUCUGUAAUUGCAUUUCUCUGAUAUUUGUUUUAUAUUGUUUCUCUUUGGUCAAGAGAUUAUGUAUGUCUCUGUGCUUGAUUAAUUUAAUUUAGGUAUUUUUGUAAUGUACACAACACAAUAUGAAGUAUAUUAAAUUGUUCUGUAUUCAAAAUCUGUGUAUGUGUCUUAAUAUUUAAUGAUUUUAAUAUAACAUUUUAAAUAUUAAAAACAGCUUUAUAAUAAAAUAGUAGUAUAAUGCUAAUACAUUUCUAUUAAUGUAAUGCUAGUAUAUUUCUAAUAUGCUGAAGUACUAUUAAAGU